CCUANGGGAGGCUGCAGUCGAGAAUCUUUCGCAAUGGGGGAAACCCUGACGAAGCGACACCGCGUGUAGGACGAAGGCUUUCGGGUUGUAAACUACUGUCGGCCAUGACGAGAUGUAUGUUGACUAAUAUUCAACAUAUUUGACGGUAGUGGCAAAGGAAGCAACGGCUAACUCUGUGCCAGCAGCCGCGGUAAUACAGAGGUUGCAAGCGUUGUUCGGAUUCAUUGGGUGUAAAGGGUGUGUAGGUGGUUUUGUAAGUCAGAUGUGAAAUCCUGGAGCUUAACUCCAGAACUGCAUUUGAUACUGCUAAGCUAGAGUAUGUCAGGGGAAAGGGGAAUUCCCGGUGUAAUAGUGAAAUAUUCAGAUAUCGGGAGGAACACCAGUGGCGAAGGCGCCUUUCUGGGAUAAUACUGACACUGAAACACGAAAGCUAGGGGAGCAAACGGGAUUAGAUACCCUANUANUC
rnacentral:rRNA from 1 species